rnacentral:ncRNA from 14 species
GGGCGUAGUUCAAUGGUAGAACCUCAGCCUUCCAAGCUGAUGGUGCGGGUUCGAUUCCA